rnacentral:lncRNA from 12 species
GGGUGAACCUCAGUCAGCUGUCCUGUCAGGGUAGGAGGUGGAGCCCUCUCUGGGGGACACUCUGCGAAGUCCUCUCGGAGGAGAUGCACAAAGGGCAUUAAAGCAGCAAUGCCCGUGAGGCUGGUCAGUGUUUUCCCUCUGGAGGUGGUCCUCUACCUUGUAUUCCGGAUGUAUGCUGUGGAGAAGGUCUGCAAAGAGGGUAGUAUAUAUUCCGAGUCUCUGCCGGAGGAGCCGAGGAGACCCUGGCGUGGGGAGAAUGCUGGUGCCAUCCAACAGGAGAGAGAAGCAACAAAUUAUAUAUUUUAAAAAAACCCAGAGGUCUGGGACACCUGGGUGGCUCAGUGGUUAAGCAUCUGGCUUCGGCUCAGGGUGUGAUCCUGGGGUCCUGGAAUCGAGUCCCUCAGCGGGGUCCCUGCAAGGAGCCUGCUUCUCCCUCCACCUAUGUCUCUGCCUCUCUCUGUGUGUCUCUCAUGAAUAAGUAAAUAAAAUCUUAAAAAAAAAAAAAAACA